UUGUCAUUGCCGUGUUAUUUUUUUCGGUGAUGGGUGUGUUCAGUCAAGGUCGCAAAAUAAAUCUGCGCAUAAUUGUAUUGGCCUGGCUUAAAUUAGCACUGGCUCCCACUUAAGCUGAAGCCGUUUCAUUAAAAUUAUUCAUUUGCACCUUGUCCACGUUAAUUCAAGCCAAACUUGUUAAAGCCUCCAUUGUGCACGAACAUCCAGUUCUCUAUAUAAGCAGUGAGAGCGCGGUGUUCUUUACGAUAGCGGGGCAAACAUUACUUUUGGAGCAAUACUAAAAUUGUAAGGAUGUAAUCACAAGGAGAGGGAAAACUACGACGACCCAGUCAGCACAAGUACGUCGGCGCUACGUCGCUGAUACGUUUUUUGAAAGGAAAUACCUCCCAUAACUCCAAGCCAAGACUGUGAACAGGAACACUGGGGUAGGCACUCUCACAGCCACAGGCCCACAGCAUCCAAUGAUCUUUCCCAAGGAGAUUCGCUAUCUUCUCCCUCACAGCUUUCCGACUCCAGCCUUUUCUCGCGUCUCUAUUCUGUGGUUCUUUGUUCCAAGUGUGCCCUGGGCUGGGUUUCCCGAAAGCUUCAUAAUGCUAGUUAGUUCAUCGUCUAGCACUGAAGAUUAUUCGUUAGUUACACUCUCAGAAAAAAAGGUACAAAAUUGUACUUUUGAGGUACAAAAUCUUGUCACUGGGGUGGUGCCCUCAAAGGUACUUUUUUGUACCUCAAGUGAGGGAAACAAAAUUGUACCUCACAUAUUUGUACCUUCUAGGGAGCAAUAUUGUACCUUACAUGAUAGUACAAAAUUGUACCUUUUGCAAGGGUACAAUAUUGUCUCAGUAGGGUACAGCCCCAGUGACAAAGUCAUUUUGUACCUUUAAGUGGCAAAAUGUACCUUCAUAAUGUUUAUUUUCUUAAAGAAACACAAAGAAAACAAGUAAUAUUCUGUAUCAUUUAAUCAGUCAAUUUCUCAUAAAAAGCAAUAUUUACAUACAUAUUUUAAGCAUUUACACAUUUUAGCAAUACUGCAAAGUAACAAACAGUUUGUCAUCCACAUUGUAUAUGUCCAAAGGAUGAUGAUCAACAAUCUCAUGAGGAUCUAGGACAGUCCAGUCCUCAUCACAUUUCACCUCAUAUACAAAGGAAUUAAUAAUUUGCCACACAAAACCCAAUCUGUUAAUAUAUUUACAAUAUAGCUGAUCUGAAAAAACAAUGGAACGUCUUCAGGAUGAAUGUGAGCCACAACAAAAACAUCUUUAACACCAUACUUAACUCUAUUUAUUACUACUUUUUGUACUCUCUGGAGUGUUAAGUCACGAAAAUCAAUAUGUUUGUAUCUCUCAGCAGUUAUGGAAAAUUGAAGUGCAGCAGGAAAAGACUGUAAUGGCAUGCUUAUACCACAUCCAACAACUUCCUCAUACUCUUCCAACAUAUUUGAAAAUUCCCAAGAUUGUCUGUAUUGGUGCCGACUGCUUAAAGUGAAUGCAACAUUUACAAAAUUCUUGCAAGACGUAGCCACCUCUUUAAAGUAUUGAUGUUUGCUUUCAAAUCGCAUACACCACAAAGGCCUUAAAGGCCCAUAAUACAACAUCAAAUGUGAAUAAUGGAUUAAAUAGUGGCAUUUAGGCGUAAUGACAUUCCCAAACUCUUUUUCCAUACCACUCAAAAACUGAAAUAUUAUUUGAUCAAGAUGUAAGAGAGACUCCUUUUUAACAACUGGUGCAGUUAUUAUAUCAUAAAUUUCUCGGCAAAAUAAAUAAAUUUGCCAGUAGCCACAGCCUUCAGGUACCCUAUGUGCCAUUAAAAAUGGAAGCAGGCGGAAUAAACACCACUUUUGUGAGGGUGAUCCUGCAAAACCAAAGUCUUGUAAAAGUUUUUCUGUCAGAGGCACAGGCCUAUUUGUUUUAUCAUUUUGUCCGAAAGACAUAUUUUCCAGUUCAACAUUUAGUUCUUGUAUAGUUAUAUGUUUUUCUCUGUGAGCUCUACAUAUGACAAGCCGCAACACAAGUGGUACUACACCCUCUAAAAAAUCAUGCAUAACAUCUGGAGGCAAGGCUGUAGUGACAUCAAAGUAGGAUAACUGAUCAAACACACAUCUACCACAAACUCUAUAAAGUCCUUUGUUUUCUUGGUUCUGCUGUACACAUUCCAAGUGAUAUUUGUGCACAUCAGUUGUUCUUAAAACAAAAUCUAUCGACAGAUUCUACCAAUAUUAAAGGACAUAUUAAAUCCACCAAUCAUGUGAGAUGCCAAGUUGUCUGCUGAUAUGACAGCUACAGCUCCAUAAACAUGUUCUUGAAUUCCAUUUACAAUAAAACUAAGUCCUUCUGUGGUCAAUUUCUCAAGGUCUUCUAAUAAUGGUUUCAAAAUCACUUCUAAACCAAACUGUUUAACAAAACAGUAUCGUACAAGCAACGCCAGAUGUAUAUGUUUCAACUGUAAACAGUGUUUUGCUCCUAUGUUUCCAACAGUGUAGUAAAGUGCAAACAAUUUGUGCUUGUUACGCUUUGAACCCAAAGCAUUACAGACUUCAAAUUCGUCCCCAUAUAAGUGUAGCAUUAACGCAUCUGGAUGGUCUGCAAAAAAUACGUGAUUCUGGAAAUUAAGGCCAUCUUUAAAAUCAGUAAGUACAUGUUGAUCUCUCUUGCAAUUUUGCUCAGCCUGCAUACAAUCCCAUACCUCCUCACAAGAGCAGUAAUUUUUAAGCACAUCACAAAUAGGGACAUAAGAGUAGCAGCCUACCUUGCGACCACUUGAGUCUCUCAAUGCAUAAUCUACUGGUUCACUCAUUUUAAGUUUAGAUUUACAAUGCUGUUUGAACAUAUGAGGCGAUCUUAUAAGUUUUGCAGCCUCUGAGAAAAAGUCAGGAGACUUUAAAACUGACUGAAGUUCAGGACAAUCAUCAACACUAAAGCCAUUUCUUUCCAGAUGGUAUGUUAGAAAUGAAUCAUAGUUGUCCUUGAAAAAGUCAAAUAGAAAAGUGACAUCAAGUAUUUCUUGUUGCACAGUUUGUUGAAGGAGGUUUUUUUCUCUUCAUUUUAGUACAAAAUUAAAGAGGUUUUCUCUAAAUUGCAGCAAGAGUUCAUCUAUCAUAAGAGGAGCAGGAGUGGCCAAAGAUUCAGCAAUACCACAAGGCCCCUGCUCCUCUUCCACCUCUGUUCCUUGAGUGUGUUCAGUGUCCACAGGCAAUAUAAUGUCUCGAUGCUUCCUGUAUAUAUGAUGUCUUGACUCAUAUUUUGAAAAUGUUGAGACCACAAGUUAUAGUAAAAUUUGGCUCAUGUGCAUGUAUAAGCCCAAUAUGCUGCAGUAGCUUUACAAGAGUGAAGGCCCUUCGAGAGCAUUUUGGACAAGAAAAUGUACGAGGCAUUAAGUUCCUUAAUUUAAAAGGUUAAUAAUUCUGGUCACUGUUGUUGGUAAAGCCUUGUCACUGUCCAAUGAUAUUUUGAGGACAUGGCGCUGAAGGAAGACCAGUGUAUUCUUUAGUUGGGAUGGAUAGGCUAAAUUAAAGACAAAGUAGGAACAAAAUGCUGUAAGGACACCCUGCUCAAGACUUUGUGCUCUGCAAACCGACAACCCAUCCACCUUGAUAACUGCAGAGACUCUUCCUGUGAACAGAGACCUCCAGACUGUGACAUCCUCCACCUGGAUAGUUGGAUAUGGUGAUGUUGGCUCAGCCUAAAAAGGUAAUAAAAUCAGUUUUACAGCAAUAACACAUGUAAUGUGAAACUGUAACAUUAAACGAAUAAAUUACAGAAAAUAAGAUACAUGCUUACCUCCCCAAGAAUGAUGUAAUUCUCAAGUUUCUCCCUGAACAGGAUCGGCAACAGUAGGAUAGCAGAAUUGAAAUCAAUCCCUGAAAGUUCAUUUAAAACAGAGGAAAGAAUAAAUUACGGAAUAAAUUAUGGUUAAUUUACGUGCAAUUAACCAUAAUUACUGUAACUAUCAAAGUAGUGCUGUCUUAAAACUCAGAGUGCAAAACAAUGAACAAAAUUUUCUUAAGCAUGGAAAAAGAGCUAAGACCUAGGUAAUGAGGUAAGGACCUAUACAGAACAGCCUAAGAUAUGGUCAUGUUCUUUUUUAAGAAUAUAAGCAUCCCUACAUUUUCUGGCAGCAAUUGUGACCUCUAGGCAGUAACUAUGUCUCCUGCAGUUGAAAAGACACGCUCACUUGGAACAGAGGUCGCAGGAAUGGAAAGAUAUUCUUUGACAAGUGGAGACGGCAAAGGAUAUUUGGAGCUGUUUUCUCUCCACCAUGUCAGAGGGCAGCAACUAAGUGGGAUAGAUGCCUCUCUUCUGUAAAGUUUAGUUUCCCACUCAAUUCCUUUGCUGGGCUGUUCUGUCUUCGAGAAAGAGUCCCCUAGCAGAUCCUCAAGUGCUGUCUUCUUGGAAGCAGGUUCCUCUUCUGACUCAGCUCCGCCUUCAGCUUCAAGAGCCCCCUCGCCCCCAUGUGUGGAACAAUGAGCUGAUGCCUCUUCCUUGCGCUCCAUACUCUUCUCAUUUGUGGGCUUUAAGCAGCAGAAACACUAGCUUUAACAUUAGCAAGCAGCAAAGCAGUCCCCCUCUCUCUUUUAACACAAAUACACUCACUCUGAUGCUCUCGUGUUUACAACACACACACACACACAGAAACACAGCAUGAACCUAUUAAAUCCAUUUAAAUUUGGUACUGGAAACAUAAAUCUUCUAGGGAAAAAAAAUCAAGUCAAUGAUACCUGGUUUUGCUGCAACUGUUCCACCCUUUUCUGUAUCCUCUGAAAGACUGCCUCACGCUGGUUGCAGUCUAGCUGCGAUAGAGACUGGAAUCUUCGGUCCAGCACAGUGCUCUCCAGCAGGUAUGGCACGAUGAGAGACACUGUGGGCCUCUUCUCUUCACACAAGACAGUGGCAGCUGUCUUUAAAGGAUUCAGCAGCUUCACAAGGUCUUCGGCAUUGACAAUGUCGCAGGUAUCCAGUGUGUCAAUGUUUCGGGCAUUUUGUCUUAUUUCUGGGCUGGUGAGCACUGCUGCUGCUAUAACAGCCUGCUGCUCCAGGUAACGAACCAGCAUAUCCAAUGAUGAAUUCCAUCGCGUGGUGACGUCCAUUAUUAAUUUGUGCGGUGGCAGUUGUAGCAGCUUCUGCUUAGACGUCAGUACCGCGGCAGCUGUCGAACUCCAGUGAAAAAAAGCAGUUACACGUCAGAGAGAUGGAUAAUACCGCAUCUUUCAAAAAGAUUUAUGACCCAAAGGUCAUAAAGGUCACGGGUCAAACGUUCACUGGAUGGGCGGGUCUGGGGCGUGACGUCACCUGGCUGUGAGCCAGCAACGACCAGUGACGUUGGGAGAGGUUUAAUUAUUAAUUAAUUAUUGUUUAUUAAUUAUUUAUUUUUAUAAUAUUUAUUAUUU